CGCCGGAUCCCCCUCUCCGGGGGAGAGCGUCGGGCCCGUGGGGCCGAUCGUCUCCGCUGCAAGCGCUCCCAGGGUUUGCUAGGUGGCAGACGAUCAAACUCUACCAUCCCGAGUCCCGCUUUUUCAUCGCUCCCGCCUCGCUGCACCUCAUUCGCUACGCCUGAAACGGGUCGCGCUUCGACUCUCCCCCUCAUUCCAUUUCUCUGAAGACAACCCGGCAGACCCGGACCUCGCCUGCCUGCCCUCCAGCACCUCCCUUCCUCUCCUCCCCUCAACCAACUGUCUGACCCAGAGGAGUCCCUUCCUGGGAGACCGAGGAUGUACAGAGUGACUCUGGAGACGGGACUGUGAGCACCCAGAGCAAGACAGUCCACGGCUCCACGGCGGUGACAGAGCGGCUCUGACGUUCUACGCCGAGGUCCCAACGGCACGGGGACGGUCUUCGAGGCCGGGAAGUAUUGCACGCCUGCUUUAGGCGCGGAGUAAGGACUCGUCAAAGUCUCCCUCGGGUCGACCCGCCCCCAACCCCUCGCCUUCGACCGACCGGCCGUCGUGGAGGUGUGACUCGGACUAACGUUUACCACUUGGGUGAAGGGCCAUUGCACAGACGAUUGGAAAGAUGAAGAGAUCUAUAAACUGUGAGCAUGUUCGCUAACAUCGAGGAAAGAUUUCAUUCCUUCACCACAGGCGUGGUUGAAGAUGAUCGGAAAGGAAAGUGAACGACGACACCUAGGAUGGGUGAAGCGAGGGGCGGGCCGGAAGGAGGACGACUGUCAAAUCCGGCACAUGUGACAUAACCGAGAGCGAUGACAGGGAUGGUACAGGGACUCCCAGGGGAACCAUUCCCCCAUAACGGCAUCCCGUGGCCUGGCAGCUGGAGUGCAGACGAUCCGACUGUGCUCCUGGGGGCUGAAAGAGAGAGAGAGAGGAGAGGAAGUGCACACGACUCAGUCGCUCAAAAGGAGACAUUCCCUCCGGUCCCCCCAUAACCCGCCCGUCGUUCGAAAAACCUUCCCGGACCGACCACGCACGACACGACCGCUCCGCCCAUCGUCGACGCAGGCCCGGGCCGAAACGAAAGACGCCACCGGCGGCCCUGGACCCGGAGGAUGGGAGGUCUUCCGGAUGACCGCCGCCCACUGGGAUGGGAAAGCCUACCGUACCGAGAACUUCUUCCUGCUUUCUGGGCUCCCUACCGACCCUCGCGUAGGGGGCUAGAAGGACUCCGGACGAGAAUGGUCCGUUUAGGGACGCCCACCUCCCAUCCCCCUGAGACCGACCCCUUAAGAAUACGGGAAAGCCGCUACCGUAGUCACGACGGGAAGGCAAGGCGGUUCCGAUGAGACGUUCGGGCUGUUCUCUUUCACCGAACCGAACACUCGCAAGAAUGACCUUGUCUGACCUCCCCAACUCCCCGUGAUGUCAGACCUAGGUGACUACUAAAGUCCCGACUCCAAACUUUAGCCGCACUUUGAGAGCUAAUUCUUUUUCUAAUACAAUGCCUGCAUUAUCCACCUCUCCGGCAUCAAAGCGCCACAUUCUCUCUCUAACCACUGACAGACAUCGCUCUCACACUCGAGUCUCCUCCCGUCUAUUUCUCAGAAGAGAAUAAAGGAGGAGACCAGGAGCUCUCCAGCCUAGGUCUCCACAAACCUUCUCCCUCCUCCC